AACAGAAGAGAGAAUGUGAAUGAGAGUAGAAAAGAAAGAAUGCCCUCCUCAGAUCCCUUUGGGAAUGAGGAAGGGUAGAAAUAAAAUCAUAACUAAAUAAGGGAAAAACUCCUGCUCUGCAAAAAAUAGUACAUCCCAGGCUUGGCUUUCUCCAUAUACACUUGACUGGAAGUCCGAUGUCUCCGAGGCAUCAUGGGUCUCACGGCCCAGGCCCAGAGAAUCAAAUCAUAAAGAUUUAUUCCACACCUCUGUUUGAUCUAGCACUGAGUUUUCCUCAGGGAAGUGAACAAUAUUUGGGCUUUGCCACAUCCGUAUGUCCGAGUGACUUAGAGUCAUAGGGUGCUUGCUGUAGACACACAGCCACAUCAUGCAGUACCGCCCUCUACUGGUUAAUGAAUCAAUUUAUUUUACAAGAUGAGAAAUUACUUGACUCUGUAUAGAAACCUUAGCAGUAGGGGCCAGGAGUUCUGUGAACUCAUCUUGUCUGAUCACUGCUUAUAAAAUGACUUCAGAUAAAUCACUUCACCCUUCAGUGCCUUACGUUUUUAAUCUGCACAAUGAGCACACUACAUUCACAGGGCACUGUAACACUAUCAGCAAGACCUGGGACAUAGCAUUGUAUUAUAGUCAAAACAAUUCUAAUAAUGUUAGGAGGUCCUCCCAGUAGUUCCACAUGAGUAACUAAAUCCAUUGGAGAGUAUCUAAGGUGGAUUCAUAUUGAUAGUAUAUAGAAUUCCAGGCUAUAGCAAGUCAUGUUUCGUGAUGUUUCAGUGUUUUGUCAUUGACCUGAUCAAAAUGUAAUGAGAAUUAACCGUAAUUUAUGACUGCAAAGUACUUGGCAACAUUACAUGUUCUAUAAAUACUAAAUAUUAUCGUUGUGUCUAUGAAUCUCUUACCCCCUCUUUCCUCAUACCACUUUUCUUGUUCCUAUCUAAUCUGUGAUGCUUUUCUGCCUUGCCAGUGCAAGUAGAAGUACGGAGCCUCUACCCUUUGCUAUUUUCCCAGAAGCUUCCCUCCAGCAUUUCAAGGAUGGAAGCAGUCUACCUUCUUGCCUUUCAGAAUAGCUGUACCCACACUAUCUCAGUCCUGUUUACUUGCCAAGAUCAUUCAAAGUCAACUCACCAGGGAAAUCAGUGUAGCUGCAGCCCCCACAAAUGCAGCAAUAAACAGGUGGAAGGUCAUUUGGAACUGCAGGAAAAUGAAAGAGGAAGAACUGUUUCUUGCAACAGCAAUAAUAUGCCUCAGUGUAAAUCAUGAAUACAGCUUUCUGAAUGUGUUGAUAUCUUUCUUGUGUGCUAAUUCUACAUCUUUAACUAAGUUUUCACUUCCCUAAAUGUGGGCCUCCCAGUCUUCAGUGUACACCAUAGCACCUUGCCCAUAACACCCAGAACACAGAAUACUCAUGAAAUAGCAUAGUACUCCAAAAUAAUGAACUGGUUCCCUACAGUUGUGCCCAGGGGUCCAAAAUUUAAAGUCAAUAUUUUGCUUUCAAAGAAAUAAUUUAUUGCCUUUCUCCCCAGGAUUCACUUUUAUUCCCCUUGCCUCAUUUGUAUAUAAUAUCUGUUCUCAAUACAGUGCUUUCCUUUUCAAAUGUACUUAUUUUACCUCUCAUUUGAGAUAAAGAAGUUCCAAACUGAAAAUGUUUUUAUAAAACCUAUGAAUGCCUCUGUGCACAGCCCAUUUUCUUGAUACGGUUUUUAACUAAAGGAAUGAAAAUUUUCAUGUGGGGGAUUUUGCCAUCAGGCUCUAUCUUUACCUAAAGCUACAGACUUCUCUUUUAAGAGGGGAAGGGUUGGAAAGAAAGUCUUUCUAUGCAGCUCUAGGGAAAACAGGUGUUUUACCUUCUAUGCUCAUUGGCUCAGGCAUACUUAGCCAAUAUGUUGUAGAAGGCAAUCGGCUAAUUCAAAAUCCAGCAAAGAGAAACUUUUAGUCCUUAAAAUUGAAGACCAUGGGUGUAAUUUGUAUGGUAUUAGCUACUCCCUUGUAAAAUAACCCAAAUAACCCACUCACCUCAGCUGUUUUGCAGAUGGACAGAAGGUUGGAGCCACAAACCUUGCCAGGGAAAGCAUUCCAUGGGAGAACACCUAAGUAAGACACAAACAUCAACCAGGGCUUGCCUGGAAUUUCGCUUUGCUACAGAGACAUCUGGAAAUGUGGAUUGAGGGUGGAAAUAAAAUGAAGAUGUCCUGGAAACUUCCAACUGAUCCUUGGGUCUAAUUGGUGUGGGAUAUGCAGCACAAGCAUGAGAAGCCAUGAAGUGAGAGCCCCGAGAGGGGCUCAGAGUCAAAAACUUAGCUGGCUGUUAGCUCCCAAAGUCCUUCCAAAUCUGCCCCAGCUCCCCACAUCACUCCUAGCUGCCCUUGGUCCUCUCCACUUUUCCCCUCCCGAUUCCUUGGAAAAUAAGCAUUCCUCACUCCCCCCCCCGCCCCGCCCAGCUCUACGAAUACAAUAGAGAAGAAAAAAUUGUCUUUUAAGAAAAUUUCCUCCAAAUCCUUCUCAGUUUCAACUGCAUGAAGACAAAAUGCAGGCUGUCAAUUCGAUGAACAGAUUAUGAUUAGGCUGGGGGAGGCUAGGAUUGUAAUAACUUUAUAGCUAUGAUAAUAAAGACUCAGAAGUGGGCAAGACCUAUGCAAGUUCGCAGACUAGGUUAAAGAAAAGGCCAGUGUUGAAGAUGUGGGUGAUUUCCAAGGAGGAUAAUCGACUUUGAGACAAGUCAAGAGCACGAUCUGGGAAUCAGGUAGUCAGUAUUCCAUCCUGAAAAUGAAAUGUCUUCAUCAGAGAGCUUAAGCCAGGCAGGCGAGAGGCAGGGAGUGGGUUAGAGUGAAGCAGCAGGUGGCAGUGAGGGUGGAGAGGAGAAAUGAAAUAUAGUCCUUGUCACAGAGAAAGAAUCGGUAAGACAAAAAUGGCUAAGCAGUAAAAACAGGGAAAUACUAUAUAAAACCUGCCUUAGCAAUAAGUUAUUUCUAAAGACUGUGAAGGUAGUUAAAUGCCCAGUGCUAGAUGGGAUCAGCCUAGGACAGUUUUCUAGAACAGGUGAAUCUUAAGCAGUGUCUGUCUGGGCUACUUGUCAGUCCUGUCUCCCUUCACAGCUCCCUUGACCUAGAGGCCAGCGUCUUCCCAUGGAUGGCCUUCAAAACAACUGGCUGGCAUAUAAUAAGAGGGGCACCUGUUGGAAGACUCCAGAGAAGGAAGGGCCAGAAAAGGGAUCCAGCCAGGUGACUGUGUCUCACUCAUCCCAGUGCCUUAAGGUUCCCAACUCCCUAGAAUCUAGUGUAUUCUCAUUGCUCUCUACACCCCGACACUCUGCCUCAGUACCUCAUCAGCCGACCUUUCCUGAGGGCUCCCUACAGACCUCAUAAGGUCCCGGCUUUGGCAGCUGCCCAGGCCUCCUUCUUUCAAAGUCACUGCCCAGAGCAGCCUUUUAGAGAUGUGAUUCCACCCGCUCCAACAUCAUCAUCAUCAUGAUCAUCAUCACCAUCAUAUGCUGUCCCUUUCAGUGAAACCAGGCCAAGCCCUUCAUCUCUGGUUGCUUGACUGGUUGAAAGGUGUCACUCUGGGCUGUGGGUGACACUUCAAAUCAAAGCUGGACUCCUAUGGAGCAGAUUGUCUAACACUGAGGUCGGAGUACCUUCCUUGACAAACCGCCAGCAGCCAAGAUGGAGAAGAAGGGGAACCUUGGUGCUCCCUGAUGAGAGCUGCACAUUCCCAGCACUUUGCCAGACAUCGAGGGAAAUAUAAAGAAAUGGGAUGGUUUCCGGAUGCAACCUUUGUUCUGAGAGAGCUUACAGCCUCCUCUGGAAGGAAUACUACAGACGUUAACAAAAUGAAGAUUCAAACACAACUAACAUUGAGCACCUACUCUGUGCCUAUCCUGACCUAAGUGCACAAGCAAGCCAAAUGUCAGCAGAGUGUCAUCCUGUCCAUCCAGUGCAAAUAUAAUUGGUUCAAGCUCCAUCUUAUCCCUUACCAGGGAAGUCCAGUGUCUUCCUCAAGAUUUCUGAGAAUUCUGAGAGGGCUCAGAAUUCCAUGUGGUUCUGAAUUUGGGCUCCUAAGGAACUUCUGAUUUCGGUUCAUCUUUUACGGCCACUACCGUCCGAUUUCUUUUUCUUUCCCUUCUUUCUUUCUUUUUUUUUUUUUUUUGAAUCGAAGUCUCUCUCUGUCACCCAGGCUGGAGUACA